UAAGUGUUCAUAAACAUAGUCAUUAAUAUUCAUAUUGUAUUACUAUUGAACACGAAAAGGCGUUGACAAUAAGAGUCACGGUGUUUCGGGUUUUUCGGCACAGCUUCCUUCGUGGUGCAGUGGCAGAGAUGCAGUGAUGGAAGAGAGUCUGUCAACCAGUUGAUAUGGAUAUGAUAAACCAACGUAAAAGCUAAACCCAUGUAAAGAUAUACACCCGUCUUUUAAUGGGUACGCCAUAGAGGAUUUUCACUCUUCACACACGAGACCUAUAUAUUUGUGGAGGGUUCAUCUUACUCGCAGUCGACUCACGAUCGAUCCUAAGGCGGUGCGGUUGUAUUUAUUAGAGGCUACAAGAUGGAAUCCUCAUGUACAGAACUGAGCAGAAAAUCAAGACUGUGGAGGACGGAGGAAUCACUGUCACUAACAGGAAAUGGCGGAAAGUUGUGGAAAAUUCUGAGGAAAAAAAACCUGGAUCCGCCCCUGAUGUACAUGUGGAUUUGACUUAUUCAUUCAUACAUUAAUUGAUCAAUAAGACCACGGGCGCUAAUAUAUACAGCAUUCUUAUUAAUACUACGUUUAUUCCAUGGUACUGUAAAAUGUAGGGUUAUCAGUUUCAUUUGUUUGAUUGAUUUGUCUACCUUGUU